UGGGGAAGGUUGACACGUGGUGUUCCCAAGCUCUAGGGCCCAAGCUCUAGGGACUUGAAGUGCAGAGGACAAGACAAUACCAGGUAGUUUAUAGCAGGGCUCCAUGUGCUUUGCAUGCUGAAGGUCUCAGGUGCACCCAAGCUGUUUGGAGCUUGGAGGGCCUUGAAAAGAAGUGGAACCACCCAGCUAAGCUAAGAAGUGUUAGCUCUUCUGCUAGGAGAGCUGACCGCGCCCAAACAGAUGGAGACCAAAAACAAAGGGAGAAGACUGAAGAUGAACCUACCCUUUAAAAGUCCUUGUCUGCUGAAAGUGGCAUUUCCUGCGACUCUGCUUCGCUUCUUCGUACAUGGCUGUUGCAGCAGGCAUGGUUCCUGGAGGUUCCUUCUAGUACCACCCAGACAAUUCAGUAUCACCAGGAAACUCUGGAGACACAGUGCUGAGUGAAGACCAGUAGCAAUGGGAAGACAUCGUCCUGUGGAAAUUAACUUCUUGAUCAGAGAAGAUGCCAGAUGAUGGUGGGUGGCUUCCAUCUCACUCUAAUCUCAAAGGAGAGCCAAAAAGCAAAAUCCUAAGAGUGGAGCAAGUUGCCUCUUGUUGAGCAAAUUCCUGGGCAGCCAAAGUUUCUUUUUUUUCUUUUUUUUUCAAACUGGUUGGGCGGGAGCCGAGCGCCUGGAGGCAAGGCCUGUUGGCUGUUUUGCGACAGUACUGCCAUCAUGAGGAAAUAGUUUCAUAAAGCCCCAAGCUUUGAGCAUUUUCUCCAUGCCAGGACUAGCACGGAGGAAGGGUUGGCCCUGUGGGAGGUUGAACUGGUGCUAAACACAAGCUUGGCCCAACUGCCUUUUUUUUUCUUGAGGUCUUGCAGGAACCACGGACAAAGGCAGAUUCUUGGUGUAGUAACUGGUGAAUGAGAGACCUGGGCUGAGGCAGGGCUGCCAGGAAGUCCAUGCACAGGAAGUAGAGGGGAGGAGCCUCCAUUUUCUGGCUAUGUGGGCAAGACUAGAGAAACCACCCACAGAGAAGUGCAGACUCUGGGGACAUUUAUCUUGCGAAUGUGCCUUUUGGAGUUUUAGGCAGCCUGAUUGUCUCUGUGUUGUGGGGCCAGGCCUUUUAGAGCAAAAGUAUCAGAUAGCAAUGAACAGGUCAGUUUCGGGUACCAUUUAUCUAGAGCAUAUUGUUAUUUAUGUGGUCUUAAAUACCCCAAAAGUCCAGGACAUCAUUGCUUAGAGAGAGAAGGAUCUGUGUUGAAGGAGCAGGGAUAUACUGACAUGCCAAUAUGGGCCAGAACAUCUACUAGGAGAGCAGACUUUUGUUCAAGUAGAUGAAAACCAACGCAAUGGCAGGUCUGAGAAAUUCCUUGAGCGCACAAGCUAAGAACUUCUGUUGUUUUGCAGGUACAAGGUAAAGUCUUUUGUCCUGACAAGACCCUGAUGUCAUCCCAGUUCUCUCAAGGAGGGCAGAUAGAUAGCUUACUGCUGUUGGCAUACACCCUAAGAGGGAUGGUAUUAUUGAGUUUUAAGGAAAAAAAACACUAUUUCCCUCAUACUAGGUAGUAUUUUUCUCUUGGUCAGCUUCAUAGCUAGUUCCUAAUGAAGAUUCCUCAAUUUACCAGAUAUCCACCCUUGCUGACUAUCUUUAAUAAAGGCCAUGUGCCUGGGCAGUAGAUGGAAGCCUGGCAAGGCAAUCAAAUGUAGUUGAGUGAUAGUGGGCCAAGGAAGCUGAUGAAUGUUUCCUUUACAAGGGUGGAUACCAGGGAGGGGCAAUGAGUUCAUCAUUUGGAGUUUGGUUGGAUCCAUGUCAGCCCUCACAAAGUCUGAAUUCCAUUCUCUGUGUCCUCAUCAACAGAUAUUCCUUGCCUUUGAUUUAGGGAGAAAAGCAAACUGGUGAACCUUGAAGACCAAAUCAUACAGGUUUGCUCACACCUGAGGCCACCACCCUUGGCAGUUUGAUGGGUGCGGCAUUUGAAUGUUGUGGAGGACACAUGAUUGUUCAGGAGAGCCGACACCAUUGAAGUAAGUAGAUAAAGGCUUGUAAGUACUCUGCCCUUGUGGCUCAAUGAGGUGUUCAACACACACACACACACGCACAGAAUUCCAGUAAUGCUUUCUUCAUUUUCUUCUUGGUCACACUCUAGGUGGAACUUGGCGCCCUGAAUGUUUCAUACAGUAUUAAGACAUGGGAAAUUUCCAAUACUGUACACUGUUUUUGUGUUAGUAUUUUGUUGAUAAAUCUCAGAACAUUUCUUUAUGGUCAAAAAAUAACAUCAAAUCAAUAGUGCUUGAAAUCUAAAUAUAAUAUAAGCACCUGGCAAAGAAGUGAAAAAUUGAACAAUUAUAAAGAAGUAAAUGAUUUUCUGUAACAGAAACUUAAUAAAAACUCAGUCCUUUUAUCAAUUGCAUUUUACUCAUUUAAAUGUCACAACUUUCUCUGUUUUUAUCAAAGAAGCAAAAAGUCAAGCAGUCGUUCUUUCUUCACCCAGACUUCACUGGAUGUAUUUUAUGGACACAAUUGAGAGUUCCGUAAAGUUAUCUUUCAGGUUUUCAGACACAUUCCAGGGAGAGGAGCAAACAUCAGCCGCCUUGAACUGGUUCAGGCCCUACUGUAAGAGCAGUGCCUGCACAGAUGAUCAAAAAGUACCCAAAGGUCAGAUUUGCUGCAUUUUGUUCCUAACAUCUCAUUACUGUAACACACAUCCAGUGUUGAUAACAUGUUCCCGAACUGCGCAUGAGUGUCGUGACACCCCUGCCCUACAUGGGAUGACAAGAAUGCCCCCUCUUAAAUAUUCAUUUUCCACUUAAAUUAACAAUACCCUUUCCCCUACUUGGGGAGGUCUGGCUUUGAAAAUGAUUCCCUAUGACAUUGCUAUUUGCUGCAAAUAAAGUACUUUGCAUAGCAACUUCUGCUUCUUAGAACUGUUCACAAAGUAGGCCCAUGGAUUGGGGUGGGUACUAGAAGUUUUAACACUUCUUGCUUUGGUUGGGUGGUUCCACUUGUCUGUGGGCCCUCUUAGUCUCACACAGUUGGGAACACCUGAGGCCCUCAGCGAGCACACCUGCCCCUAUUACAUGCCCCCUGGAACUGGCUUGUGUUUGUGUUCUGACCCCAUGACAAGAGACCUGUGCCUCAUAGCACCAGCGGGAAGCCUGCUUCUGCUCUGAUCCAAAGGGCAGGAACAGAAGGUGAAGGCCCACUAGGGCCUGCAUUUAUCUUGGUGUGUGGGUCCCUUUGGUCCUGCUUGCACUUGGAGCAACCCAGGCCAGACUCCAGGGCUCCCUGAGGCCACGCCCCCCGAUUUUCCCUGCCAGUGCCUGCAGCCACUUGCUGGUUCAUUUCAGGCCCCUCACUCACCAAGUCUAACACCCAGGUACUGCCAAGGUUCAGGUCCCUGUUAAGGACAUGGAGGAAGAGGCAAAGAGGCCUAGUUUGGAGCACCAGCUUCCGGCCAGUUCUCCCCCAACCGCUAGGCUUCAUGGGAAGGACUCAGUAACGCUGCAGGGUAUUUUGAAACUAUUUCCGCACGAUGGCAGUAGAGCUCCAGAUAUGUUUACACCCUGGUCCUGUCGUCCUCUUCUCCCGCCCGUCCUGUCUGAAAAAACGCCACCGAGACACAAAAAAAGGCAGGCAGCCCUCCAUUUUGUACAGCUUGGUGAAACCUGCUCAGGCUACUGUGCUUUUGCUUCAGUUUUCCACCUGAAAUGUUUUAAACCCCACAUUCUCAUCGAGACGCUUGUUUCCUCACAAAUUAAAUUUCCACUUUUAAAAAAAAAAAAGAUUUAUUUUUAUUCUCAAAGUCCAAGUUACAAAGAGGGGAAAAGACAGAGAUAGAGAUCUUCCAUCCACUGGUUAACUCCCUAGAUGGCCACAAGGGCCUAGGCUGAGCUAGGCUGAGCCAGGAGCCAGGAGCUUCAUCUGGGUCUCCCACGUGGGUGCAGGGGUCCAAACACUUGGGCCAUCUUCCACUGCUUUACCCAGGCCAUUAGCAGGGAGCUGGAUUGGAAGUAGGGCAGCCAGGACAGGAACCUGUGGCAGUAUGGGGUACCAGCUUCACAUGCUAUGCCACAAUACUGGCUCCUAACUUUCCACUUUUCAGCUCAUAUAGUUGUGCUUUCUAUCUGGGUAUUAUGUGUAGUUCUGUUUGGUAGUCUAUGUCCAGAAUUUUCUGUGCAGUAUAUCCCUGUAUACCAAGUAAUGCU